rnacentral:rRNA from 1 species
UACGUAGGGUGCGAGCGUUUGUCCGGAAUUAUUGGGCGUAAAGAGCUCGUAGGCGGUCUGUCGCGUCGAAUGUGAAAACCCGGGGCUCAACUCCGGGCUUGCAUUCGAUACGGGCAGGCUAGAGUUCGGUAGGGGAGUCUGGAAUUCCUGGUGUAGCGGUGAAAUGACGCAGAUAUCAGGAGGAACACCGGUGGCGAAGGCGGGUCUCUGGGCCGAUACUGACGCUGAGGAGCGAAAGCUAGGGGAGCGAACGGG